rnacentral:lncRNA from 1 species
AGACUGUUUCACCUGGUGUUUCAAUAUUUAAAGUUUCCCGCCUUUCCUCUAGGCCAGAUUAUUACCUACAUAUUUUAUGAAUUUUUUGGAAUUACUACAUAACUGUCAGAGAUGUAUGGCUUGAAUUACUAUAACAUAUAUCAGAGUGUCUGCUGAAGACAUGCAUAUUGUCUUCUAGUUUAAUUCUAUUAUGGCCACGGCAGAUAGUUUGGAUAAGUUUAAUUCUUUAAAAUUUAAGAAUGUGGUCCAACUUACUGAAUAUUCCAAAGGCAUUUGAAAUGAAUGUGUAUUCUAUUUUGUUGGAUGGAGUAGUCUAUAGAUGUCAAUUAGGUCAACUUAGUUGAUAAUAUUCAAACUUCCUAUAUUUUUGCUGCAUUUCUGUCUGCUUAUUCUAUUAAUUACUGAUAGAGGUACGUUGAAGUCACCAACUAUAAUUGUGGGUUUUUCUGUAUGUCUUUUUCAUUUUAUUAAGCUUUUGCUUCAU